GACGAACGCUGGCGGCGUGCCUAAUACAUGCAAGUAGAACGCUGAAGAGAGGAGCUUACUCUUCUUGGAUGAGUUGCGAACGGGUGAGUAACGCGUAGGUAACCUGCCUUGUAGCGGGGGAUAACUAUUGGAAACGAUAGCUAAUACCGCAUAACAAUGGAUGACACAUGUCAUUUAUUUGAAAGGGGCAAUUGCUCCACUACAAGAUGGACCUGCGUUGUAUUAGCUAGUAGGUGAGGUAAUGGCUCACCUAGGCGACGAUACAUAGCCGACCUGAGAGGGUGAUCGGCCACACUGGGACUGAGACACGGCCCAGACUCCUACGGGAGGCAGCAGUAGGGAAUCUUCGGAAAUGGGGGCAACCCUGACCGAGCAACGCCGCGUGAGUGAAGAAGGUUUUCGGAUCGUAAAGCUCUGUUGUAAGUCAAGAACGGGUGUGAGAGUGGAAAGUUCACACUGUGACGGUAGCUUACCAGAAAGGGACGGCUAACUACGUG
rnacentral:rRNA from 1 species